CGGACGGGUGAGUAACACGUGGAUAACCUACCUAUAAGACUGGGAUAACUUCGGGAAACCGGAGCUAAUACCGGAUAAUAUAUUGAAUCGCAUGGUUCAAUAGUGAAAGACGGUUUUGCUGUCACUUAUAGAUGGAUCCGCGCCGCAUUAGCUAGUUGGUAAGGUAACGGCUUACCAAGGCAACGAUGCGUAGCCGACCUGAGAGGGUGAUCGGCCACACUGGAACUGAGACACGGUCCAGACUCCUACGGGAGGCAGCAGGU
rnacentral:rRNA from 1 species